rnacentral:lncRNA from 1 species
GACGUCACCGGACGCGCCCGCUUCUCGCUGGAGUGCGCACCGAGCGGCAGUGACUUCGCCGCUGCUGUAGUUCCCCGGCUGGAUGCGGUGACUGGUGCCAGUGCUCAGGCGCCCGCUGCCCUUGACCUCCCGCCCCGCGAGCCCUAACUCAGCGCAGGAGGACCGGCUGCCGCCGCCGCCGCCGCCAGGAGGUAGAUUGGGAAGUGGAGCUGGCCGUGGUCAUUGGAAAGAAAGGCAAGCACAUCAAGAUCCACACAACUUAAAGAUCUGCUGUCGAGUGAAUGGGGAAGUGGUCCAGAGCAGCAACACCAACCAGAUGGUAUUCAAGACAGAGGACCUGAUAGCCUGGGUGUCCCAGUUUGUUACCUUUUACCCAGGGGAUGUCAUCCUGACUGGGACCCCCCCACCUCCACCCAGGUGUCGGUGUAUUCAGGAAACCUCCUGUCUUUCUCAAGGUCUCUGAAGGUCCAGACAGCACUGAUGGCGAGCUUUGGGUCCGCACACUCUGGAAAGAAGAGAGAAGUGAAGGCUCUAGGGGGCAGCAGCCACCAGCAAACACCACUGCCUGCAGGAGCCUGGGCUGACUGGUUGGGACUCACCGAAGAUCCCUUCUUCCUGGGCGGUGGCCUGCAGGAACUGGAACAGCUGCUCUGUGUAGCCCAACUCUGCAGAAGAGAGAAGACCUAGACCUGGCACCCAGCACAGACACAGCCUGCCUCGAGGACUGCAAGGGAACAAGGGCCUCACCAGUAUCGGGCAGCUGGCCCUGGCGGAGGAAGGCGGCAGCCUGUGCAAAGGCCUUGAGCAGCGGGCUGAGCAGGCGGCAGAGGAAAAGAAAGAAAUCUGGGCAGUGUGACUGCUGGCUGAGCUGGAGGGGACAGGCCGGGGUGAGUGCAGCUCCCCACCGCCUCCCUACCACCUCCCUCCAGGGGCAGCUUUUUGAAACACACCCUGAAGUACCGGCCGUCAGCCUCUCCGAAGUCAUCACUGUCACUAUCAGUAAAGUCCCCACUCGGUUUCCACAGCA